rnacentral:lncRNA from 1 species
UUUUUUGUGGCAUACUGGGAAGGUAACUAAAUAAAGGAGUCAGUUUGUGCUCAUCGUACAGCUACUAAUUUAUUGUUUGAAUUUGACCUCUCCUUACAUAAGUUCUGUCAUCUAUAAAAUGGGGAAUUUGGGUUAUCCCAGCCAGGGAAAUCCUUCCCUGGAUAACUUGUUCUGCUUCUCUUUGCCUUCCAUCACCUACUCACCUUUGACAUGAUAUAGUCACCCUGGCUGCAAGUGACCAUAUUCCAGCCAAGAUUACUAGCAAUGGGAAAGAAGGUUUGGAUUUCUUCUCAAGUUAAAAGAACAUCAGGUCGAGGGGUUGUUCCUGACUGGCACAACACCAAAUAAUAUCAAGCUUGCACCCUCUUCACCCCUACAUGCUCAAGCUAUUCCAUCCUGGGCUGAGUCACCCUCUCAUUCACUUUUGAGGUCAGUAAGCAUCAUACAUGGAAAGCUGUGAUCUGUGUCUACACAA